ACCGGCGCGGAUCGUCUGCAAACCGAUCCGUUUGGAGCGUUUAGUACGACGGUCAUUGUGAUACCGUACGGAGAGGCGGGAGAGUGAACAAUUUCCCUCCCCGAAAAAGUUCCGAAAACGAACGGGAAAUGGUCACGACACAGAUACCGGAAGCAGCUUGAAAGGAAACGCUUCAUUUCGUGCAUAAGAUUAAUCCAGUGGAAAAGUGGAAAACAACAAAAAGCCGGAUCAUCUUUCGUUUUGAUUGUGCGACGUGAAUACUCUGCACCGUACACACAUACCACGAUGGGGUGUUGCUGUAGUAGCUCGGAUUCACAGGAUAUUACGCCGGUACCGGAUCGACCCACGGCGGAAGAGUUACCACCAGCAACGGCAUUCGGUGGGGAUGAUGUCGGUUCCAAUCCUGCCUUUACCAAUGAAAAUGGAUGAAAGCCUGCAACGAUCCGCAAUCCGGAUGGACAACGGUUCACCGGAGAGCUAAAGCUGAGAUUCGUGUUACGUCCGUGUAUGCGUGGUGGGAUAAAUCAUGCUAAUAAAUGAGUUGAAAUGAA